CAUUCGAGUGGCGGACGGGUGAGUAACGCGUGGGUAACCUGCCUUACACAGGGGGAUAACACCUGGAAACAGGUGCUAAUACCGCAUAAGCGCACAGGGCCGCAUGGCCCGGUGUGAAAAACUCCGGUGGUGUAAGACGGACCCGCGUCUGAUUAGCUUGUUGGCGGGGUAGAGGCCCACCAAGGCGACGAUCAGUAGCCGGCCUGAGAGGGUGGACGGCCACAUUGGGACUGAGACACGGCCCAAACUCCUACGGGAGGCAGCAG
rnacentral:rRNA from 1 species